CCUACGGGUGGCAGCAGUGGGGAAUAUUGGACAAUGGGCGAAAGCCUGAUCCAGCCAUGCCGCGUGUGUGAAAAAGGCCUUCGGGUUGUAAAGCACUUUCAGUGGGGAAGAAAGCCUUGGGGCUAAUACCCUCGAGGAAGGACAUCACCCACAGAAGAAGCACCGGCUAACUCCGUGCCAGCAGCCGCGGUAAUACGGAGGGUGCGAGCGUUAAUCAGAAUUACUGGGCGUAAAGCGCGCGUAGGCGGUCUGAUAAGCCGGUUGUGAAAGCCCCGGGCUCAACCUGGGAACGGCAUCCGGAACUGUCAGGCUAGAGUGCAGGAGAGGAAGGUAGAAUUCCCGGUGUAGCGGUGAAAUGCGUAGAGAUCGGGAGGAAUACCAGUGGCGAAGGCGGCCUUCUGGACUGACACUGACGCUGAGGUGCGAAAGCGUGGGUAGCAAACAGGAUUAGAUACCCUAGUAGUC
rnacentral:rRNA from 1 species